rnacentral:rRNA from 1 species
UACGUAGGCAGCGAGCGUUUGUUCGGAGUUACUGGGCGUAAAGAGUGCGUAGGCGGUUUCGUAAGUCUGGUGUGAAAUCUCCCGGCUUAACUGGGAGGGUGCGCCGGAAACUGCGGAGCUGGAGUGUGGGAGAGGCAAGCGGAAUUCCUGGUGUAGCGGUGAAAUGCGUAGAUAUCAGGAGGAACACCUGCGGUGUAGACGGCUUGCUGGACCACUACUGACGCUGAGGCACGAAAGCG